rnacentral:rRNA from 1 species
AGCGAACGCUGGCGGCAGGCUUAACACAUGCAAGUCGAGCGGGCGUAGCAAUACGUCAGCGGCAGACGGGUGAGUAACGCGUGGGAACAUACCUUUUGGUUCGGAACAACACAGGGAAACUUGUGCUAAUACCGGAUAAGCCCUUACGGGGAAAGAUUUAUCGCCGAAAGAUUGGCCCGCGGCCUAUCAGCUUGUUGGUGGGGUGAUGGCCUACCAAGGCGACGACGGGUAGCCGGCCUGAGAGGGCGACCGGCCACACUGGGACUGAGACACGGCCCAGACUCCUACGGGGAGGCAGCAGUGGGGGAAUCUUGCGCAGUGGGCGAAAGCCUGACGCAGCGACGCCGCGUGAGGGAUGACGGCCU